AACGAACGCUGGCGGCAGGCUUAACACAUGCAAGUCGAACGCACCGCAAGGUGAGUGGCAGACGGGUGAGUAACGCGUGGGAACGUGCCCUUCAGUUCGGAAUAACCCAGGGAAACUUGGGCUAAUACCGGAUACGUGCGAGAGCAGAAAGAUUUAUCGCUGAAGGAUCGGCCCGCGUCUGAUUAGCUAGUUGGUGGGGUAAUGGCCCACCAAGGCGACGAUCAGUAGCNGGUCUGAGAGGAUGAUCAGCCACAUUGGGACUGAGACACGGCCCAAACUCCUACGGGAGGCAGCAGGUGGGGAAUAUUGGACAAUGGGCGCAAGCCUGAUCCAGCCAUGCCGCGUGAGUGAUGAAGGCCUUAGGGUUGUAAAGCUCUUUCGGCGGGGACGAUAAUGACGGUACCCGCAGAAGAACGCCCCGGCUAACUUCGUGCCAGCCGCCGCUGUAAU
rnacentral:rRNA from 1 species